rnacentral:lncRNA from 1 species
CAACAUAAACAGUAUUUGUUUUAAUGACUCUUGCUUGGGCAAGCACUUUGGGGCUCCGAUCCCACAGUAGCAUCUGGGGUGGGUGUCUCCAACUCCUGAAGCCAAAGUUGGCAUGGCAUGUGUUACAGUGCACUCCUUUAGCUUUGCCAUCUGCAGAUGGCUCACAAAUAUACAAAUACCAUUUACCUAAAAUAAUUACAUUACUUUAGCCUGAGCUAUAUUUAAGCUAGGUCAUUUGUUACCUCCACAUGGGGACAGUUGCCUUGGAGAGUUCCCGUAGAUCCACAAUGCCCUUGUGAAAUUAUAGCCACUGAUUAAUGUUUAUCUGAGGAGUAUAACUGUAAGUUUCCAGAGCUGCUGGAAAGCCAAUUCUUACCCAAAACAGCUGUGAAACCAGACUGACUUUUAACCUCCCCUGUUGAAUACAGGAACUCUUGGCACAAUUACAGUGCAAGUAGCACAGAACCUAUGGGGUUACCAUUAUAGAAACAGACUUGGCCAGCAGGAAAUGUUUAUAUCCUGCACGAAACCCUGAUGUUUGACAUAAAACUGGAGCUGCUCACCAUCAUUUUAUAAAACAAAAGUCUCCCUCUUUGAACUUGCCUCAUGGCCCAAACGAACAAAUACUCCCAUUUCCUUUCCAUCAAAUACCUCAAUCCCAACUAUUUCUUUCAUUGAACCAUUUUUGUACUCUGUAGAUACAGGAAAUAAACAGCCCUGCAGUGCUCUGCCUAUAAUGCAAUACAAGCCACUUCCACCGAGGAGAACACUCAGUAAGCAACAACAAAGAGAGAUAGACUCUGGGUUGGUCCUUCCAAUUCCUCAAGCAUCUCCUAGGUAAGGCAAUUAUAUUUUAAUAAAAAUGAACUAGGCUUCAUGCUACAAAAGCAACACCACCAGAUUUCUCUAUAACUUACUGAAUUUGAGGCUUAGAACUCAAGAGGUAAUAUCUACAUGCUGACUUUCACCAGUUUCUCCUUUAUCAAAGAUAGACAUGUGAAGACGGGGAAAUGAAGAAAGCCUGGGUUAAGAGAUUGAGCUGGCUGAACCCAAGGAUCUAGAAGAGAUAAGUUAAAGCCUUUUUACAACU